AUGGCGAAGAAGGCCGCAAAGCGAGCUGUUGGUGAAGCAAGGGGUCGGGCAUAUGAGGACCUCUACCAACGGUUAGGCACGAAGGAAGGUGAAAGGGACAUCUAUAAGAUGGCUAAGAUCCGGGAGAGGAAGACGAGGGAUAUUGGCCAAGUCAAAUGCAUCAAGGACGGAGCAGGCCAACUCUUGGUGAAGGACGAAGAGAUUAAGCAUAGAUGGCGGGAGUACUUCGACAAGCUGUUUAAUGGGGAGAAUGAGAGUUCUACCAUUGAACUGAAUGACUCCUUUGAUGAGACCAGCAUGCGUUUUGUGCGGCGCAUCCAGGAGUCUGAGGUGAAGGAGGCUUUAAAAAGGAUGAAAGGAGGCAAGGCGAUGGGCCCUGAUUGUAUCCCCAUUGAGGUGUGGAAAGGUCUCGGGGACAUAGCGAUAGUAUGGCUAACCAAGCUUUUCAACCUCAUUUUUCGGGCAAACAAGAUGCCAGAAGAAUGGAGACGGAGUAUAUUAGUACCAAUCUUCAAGAACAAGGGGGAUGUUCAGAGUUGUACUAAUUACCGUGGAAUUAAGCUGAUGAGCCAUACAAUGAAGCUAUGGGAGAGAGUCAUUGAGCACCGCUUAAGAAGAAUGACAAGCGUGACCAAAAAUUAG
rnacentral:rRNA from 1 species